UACGGAGGAUGCGAGCGUUAUCCGGAUUUAUUGGGUUUAAAGGGUGCGUAGGCGGACGCUUAAGUCAGCGGUAAAAUUGCGGGGCUCAACCUCGUCGAGCCGUUGAAACUGGGUGCCUUGAGUGGGCGAGAAGUAUGCGGAAUGCGUGGUGUAGCGGUGAAAUGCAUAGAUAUCACGCAGAACGCCGAUUGCGAAGGCAGCUUACCGGCGCUCAACUGACGCUGAGGCACGAAAGUGCGGGUAUCGAACAGG
rnacentral:rRNA from 1 species